rnacentral:lncRNA from 1 species
AAUGGAUCUUCCUCCAGUCGAGCCUGGCCAUGACUUCUGACCUACAAAAAUGGUCAGACAACAACUAUUUAUUGGUUUAAGUCACUAAGAUUGAAAUAAUUUGCCAUGCAGCAAUCACAAGUUUGUGUACAUUAGUGUGACAAUUUGUGUGUUUGCAAUGUGUAUAAUGAGUGAAAAACUACAGGAGUUUCAUAUUAAAAUUAGUUACUUAGUCCAGUCUUCCGUAUAUUUUUUCUUUUUUCUAACAUUCAGCACUAAAGAAUGAAACAGAAAGAGUUCUCUGUGGGAGACCGAAGAGUCAGCAUUUAGACAUUGUCCUGUCAUCUAAAAAGGUGAUGACCUAGAAGCUGAAGGAGAUAGAGUGACUAUCUUAAGAUAGUAAGGCACCGAUACUGGAUUGGAGCUUACAUUCCUCAAGUUCUGAAAGUGAUUGAACUUGGACCAAACCCACUGGCAAAACUCUGGAGAGAUGCUGGCUGCAGGGACAGGUGUCCUCACCCUGGCUGGUGCCUGCUGCUUCCCGGUUUUGUUUGGAAGCUACUGAUUUCCAGUACUUCUUGGCCUCCAGGUACAGAUUAAAUGCAGUUACACAAUUUAUUACUGUGUAAUCACUAUUUACCUGGGGCUUUUCAAACAGUAAACCCUAAAUUGCUUUUCCCAGAGGUCAAAAGCCUUUUCUGUUAUCAUAUAAAGUGCUUAAUCACCUCGCACAGAAUUCAUAUAUAGGAGGGGUAAGUGAACAUGGAAAAUAACUGGCCAUUCUGAAAUGUGAGCUUAUUAAAUACCCAGUUAAAAAAAUCCCAUAGAGAGUCUGCUAUAAGCCAGGUAUGGUGGUGUCUGACUAUAGUCACAGCACAGGGAGGCUGAGGCAGGAUUUCAAGUUCAGGCCCUGACUGAGUAACUCAGUGACUAUUUCAAAAUAAAACAAAAUAAGAUUUUAAAAAAG